GCGCCUCCAGCCGAGGGAACCCCGCGGGCUCGACGUGCGCAGCCCAGCGGCCCCCUCCUGAGUUCCCGCCCGGGCGCCGCGCACCUGCCCGGGCGCGCGCCAGAGGGAGCCCCUGGCCGCCCGGCGCCGGGGGAGCGGCGGCCCGCGCCGCCUUGCGUUGGUGAGAAAGUUCCAUCUAGAGGCGGCCGCGCGCCACUGCAGCCCACACCCCAGGCCGCCAGGUGAGCCGGGAGCGAGCGGCCGGCGGCGGGGGACGCGGCGGACCGGGGCACAGCCGCCCGCCCCAGGGAGAAGGGGGCAGAGCCCCGCAACGAGCUCCUCCUCCCGCGUUCGGCAGCUCCGCCAGGAAUUUCAACUUUCUAAGCAGAAUGAACGUCGUGAGCAUCAGCACAGUAGAAACUAUAGAAAGUAAACCAAUACUUGACAACAUUUGCUUGGCUGGAAGAAAUAUGCAGAAUAUACACUCAUUUUCAAAUGGAAGUUCACCUGAGGAAGAAUUGAUUUUUCAGUUUAGCCCUUAUGAUUCGCAGAAGAAAGAAUAUGAAGAUUUUUGCCUUUAGAGGAUGAAAGAUUAUGAAGAGAAUGUAGAAUUAAAAUGGAUAUUUAUUUUUAAUAUGAUAUCCUUUAUGAAAAAUCAAUAUGGCUGAACAAUAAGGGAGCACACCCCCUAAAGUUUCUGCAAACAUAUAUCUACCAAACAUAAAUCAGAGAGAAAAUAUUUAAGUUAACUUUAUUCAAACAGAAAAAAAUAUAACAGUAAAGUCCUCUCUGGGACAGAAAAAGAAACAUGAAGGCUCUGGGUAACUUUUGCAGCUGUUUCGGUGGUAGCUUUCCUGUCUUCCUGAGUGGGAGGAGGAGGGGGGAGGAAGAAUAGGAGCAGUAACAGAGUAGUGGCAGCAGUAGGUGCUGACAUUAGAGUACUUACUGUGUGCCUGGACCUGUGCAAGGUCUUUCCAUGCUUUAUUUAAUUCAAUCCUUAAGGAAAUUUCUGAGAGAUAAAUAAUUAUUACUAUUAUUAUUCCUACUUUGCAGAUAAGAAAACUAAGACUUCACAAAAUAUAAGUAACUUGCCUAAGGUCACAUAAUUAAUAAGCAGUAGGGCAAGGUUUAAACCUAGGCAUUGGUCUGACCACUCAGACUCAGAAUUUUAGUGUUGAAGCAGUCUCUGCAUGGUCUCUAUCCAAUCCCUCAUCUUACAGAUGUAGAGCCGACACCUAGAGUAUAAAUGAUCCAGAGCUGCAAGGCGAGUUAGUGGAAGAAUAUGGGUGCCCCUUACACAACACAACACAACACCAAUAUAACAGCCCCUUCCUUGUGGGACUCCAAUUCCUAGAGUAAAAGAAGAGAUGCUACUGUGUAUAACACCAUCAAGCACACACUACACAUAUUGAUUAUGAAGUAGCAUUGGGUAUAGACCAAGCAGCCAGGGAGUAGUGGGUUCUUCUCUCCAUCUGCCCUCUUAGGUGAUGUCUGGGGGCUGUGGAAGCAGAACCAGCGUGCAGGGCAGUGCUGAGAGAAUUCAGGAGACUCAGGAAACAGGUGAGAUCAACUGAGGACAGGAAUUUGAAUGGCCCAAGGAGCUGCCAUGAGUAACAGCUGAGAAGUUAAGAGGCCAACACAUCCAGAGCAUUCAAAUGCUACAGAGUGCACAGGAAAUAUCCAGAAAUCAAACUCUGAAAAUGGGCACCUGGGUGGCACAUUUGGUUAAGUGUCUGCUCAGGUCAUGAUCCCAGGGUCCUGGGAUGGUGUGCCACAUUGGGCUCCCUGUUCAGCAGGGAGUCUGUUUCUCCCUCUCCCUUUGCUCCUCUCCCUGCUCACGCUCUUCCCCUCCCACAAAUAAAUAAAUAAAAUAUUUUUUUUUAAAAACCA
rnacentral:lncRNA from 12 species